GACGUAGGGCGCGAGCGUUGUCCGGAAUUACUGGGCGUAAAGCGCGUGUAGGCGGUCUGCUAAGUCGGGUGUGAAAGCCCUGGGCUCAACCCAGGAAGUGCACUCGAAACUGGCAGGCUAGAGUACUGGAGAGGUUGGUGGAAUUCUCGGUGUAGAGGUGAAAUUCGUAGAUAUUCGGAAGAACACCAGUGGCGAAGGCGGCUCACUGGACUGGUAUUGACGCUGAGGUGCGAAAGCGUGGGGAGCAAACAGG
rnacentral:rRNA from 1 species